rnacentral:rRNA from 1 species
GCUACUACCGAUUGAACGGUUUAGUGAGGUCCUUGGAUUGGCCUCGGGACGGGGGGCAACCCCCGUGCCGGUGCGCCGAGAAGACGACCAAACUUGAUCGUUUAGAGGAAGUAAAAGUCGUAACAAGGUUUCCGUAGGUG